GCGAGCUGCGAGCAUGGGGGAGGGGUACGACGUAGGGGGCGGGAGUUGUGCGGGAUUAUAGGGCGUAAAGGGAUCGGAGGCGGGUGGGCGAGUCGUCCGUGAAAACUUAGGGCGUAAAGCUAAGCUAGCGGGCGAGACGAGCAGACGUGAGUACUGCAGGGGAGACUGGAAUUCCUGGUGGAGCGGUGAAAGGCGCAGAUAGCAGGAGGAACACCGGUGGCGAAGGCGGGUCUCUGGGCAGUAACUGACGCUGAGGAGCGAAAGCGUGGGUAGCGAACAGGAUUAGAUACCCGAGUAGUC
rnacentral:rRNA from 1 species